rnacentral:rRNA from 1 species
AGAGUUUGAUCCUGGCUCAGGACGAACGCUGGCGGCGCGCCUAACACAUGCAAGUCGAACGAGCGAGAGAGAGCUUGCUUUCUUGAGCGAGUGGCGAACGGGUGAGUAACGCGUGAGGAACCUGCCUCAAAGAGGGGGACAACAGUUGGAAACGACUGCUAAUACCGCAUAAGCCCACGGCUCGGCAUCGAGCAGAGGGAAAAGGAGCAAUCCGCUUUGAGAUGGCCUCGCGUCCGAUUAGCUAGUUGGUGAGGUAACGGCCCACCAAGGCGACGAUCGGUAGCCGGACUGAGAGGUUGAACGGCCACAUUGGGACUGAGACACGGCCCAGACUCCUACGGGAGGCAGCAGUGGGGAAUAUUGCACAAUGGGGGAAACCCUGAUGCAGCGACGCCGCGUGGAGGAAGAAGGUCUUCGAAUUGUAAACUCCUGUUGUUGAGGAAGAUAAUGACGGUACUCAACAAGGAAGUGACGGCUGACUACGUGCCAGCAGCCGCGGUAAAACGUAGGUCACAAGCGUUGUCCGGAAUUACUGGGUGUAAAGGGAGCGCAGGCGGGAAGACAAGUUGGAAGUGAAAUCCAUGGGCUCAACCCAUGAACUGCUUUCAAAACUGUUUUUCUUGAGUAGUGCAGAGGUAGGCGGAAUUCCCGGUGUAGCGGUGGAAUGCGUAGAUAUCGGGAGGAACACCAGUGGCGAAGGCGGCCUACUGGGCACCAACUGACGCUGAGGCUCGAAAGUGUGGGUAGCAAACAGGAUUAGAUACCCUGGUAGUCCACACUGUAAACGAUGAUUACUAGGUGUUGGAGGAUUGACCCCUUCAGUGCCGCAGUUAACACAAUAAGUAAUCCACCUGGGGAGUACGACCGCAAGGUUGAAACUCAAAGGAAUUGACGGGGACCCGCACAAGUAGCGGAGCAUGUGGUUUAAUUCGAAGCAACGCGAAGAACCUUACCUAAGCUUGACAUCCUUUUGACCGAUGCCUAAUCGCAUCUUUUCCUUCGGGGACAGAAGUGACAGGUGGUGCAUGGUUGUCGUCAGCUCGUGUCGUGAGAUGUUGGGUUAAGUCCCGCAACGAGCGCAACCCUUGCCUUUAGUUGCCAUCAUUAAGUUGGGCACUCUAGAGGGACUGCCAGGGAUAACCUGGAGGAAGGUGGGGAUGACGUCAAAUCAUCAUGCCCCUUAUGCUUAGGGCUACACACGUGCUACAAUGGGUGGUACAGAGGGCAGCAAAGUCGUGAGGCCAAGCUAAUCCCUUAAAGCCAUUCUCAGUUCGGAUUAUAGGCUGAAACUCGCCUACAUGAAGCUGGAGUUACUAGUAAUCGCAGAUCAGAAUGCUGCGGUGAAUGCGUUCCCGGGUCUUGUACACACCGCCCGUCACACCAUGGGAGUUGGGGGCGCCCGAAGCCGGCUAGCUAACCUUUUGGAAGCGGUCGUCGAAGGUGAAACCAAUAACUGGGGUGAAGUCGUAACAAGGUA